rfam:Picea glauca, whole genome shotgun sequence.
ACAUACUUACAUUAUAGUGUUAAUGCAUUGGAUCCCAUUAGAACUCUGUCAUUAAGAAUGCUUGGGAUAGAGUAGUACUAGGAUGGGUGACCGCCUAGGAAGUCCUACUGCUUUACAUGCC